rnacentral:rRNA from 1 species
UACGUAGGGUGCAAGCGUUAAUCGGAAUUACUGGGCGUAAAGCGUGCGCAGGCGGUUAUGCAAGACAGAUGUGAAAUCCCCGGGCUUAACCUGGGAACCGCAUUUGUGACUGCAUAGCUGGAGUACGGCAGAGGGGGAUGGAAUUCCGCGUGUAGCAGUGAAAUGCGUAGAUAUGCGGAGGAACACCGAUGGCGAAGGCAGUCCCCUGGGCCUGUACUGACGCUCAUGCACGAAAGCGUGGGGAGCAAACAGG